rnacentral:rRNA from 1 species
CGGAAAACUGGGGAUAAUACCGGAUAUAUGGAGAUGCCUGGAAUGGUACUCCACUUAAAGCUCCGGCGCCUAAGGAUGGAUCUGCGGCAGAUUAGGUCGUUGGUGGGGUAAUGGCCCACCAAGCCUAUAAUCUGUACGGGUUGUGAGAGCAAGAGCCCGGGGAUGGAACCCGAGACAAGGGUCCAGGCCCUACCGGGGCCAGCAGGCGCGGAACCCCCGCAAUGCGGAGAAUCGGCGACGGGGGGACCCCAAGUGCCACUCUUAACGGGGUGGCUUUUCUUAAGUGUAAAAAGCUUUUGGAAUAAGGGCUGGGCAAGACCGGUGCCAGCCGCCGCGGUAAUA